AUGUUUUUAGUCGUUCUAGAGCACAUUCUAGUUCUUACGUCUUUCUUUUAUUAUCUACCUUGUAGGAUCUACUAAACAACAUUCGCAACGUUGGAGGUGAUCGAAUGCAUACCCGACCUUUACAAUGACUCGUGGUGGUAUACCAAUCUAUCGAGCUAGUGCUGCUAUCCUCCCAGUCAAGUCUGGCACCAAUUUGCGACCCACAGAGGGGUGGGUGGAAAGCUUAAUAGGCCAUGGGUGCGGGGACCAAUCCCACAUGCGUGUUGCAGGGCGCUUCCUACCACUGCGCCACACGUCCAAAUAAAUCAGAUAGAGACUAGAAAUAAAAAGACCAUACCUAUGGAACGAUCAUUUCAAUGAGUUGAUCAUAAAUAAAAACAAAAUAAAUAAAUAGAUAAAUUAGAGUGCUCAGAACAAAAGUCUGCUUGAAUGGUCGAUCAUGGAAUAAUAAAAGAGGACUUCGGUUCUCUAUUGGUUCAGGAACUGAAGUAAUGAGCGGGACAAUGCCGGAGCAUUCGUAACCCUGCACGAGAGGUUAAAUUCGUGGAAUGCAGGAGACGCCUUAAAGCGAAAGCAUUUGCCAUGAAUGUCUUCAUUAAUCAAGAACGAAAGUCAGAGGUUCGAAGGCGAUUAGAUACCGCCCUAGUUGUGACCGUAAGCCAUUUAGUAAU
rnacentral:ncRNA from 1 species